CAGCCGCCGCGGGAAAACGGAGGGGGCUAGCGUUGUUCGGAAUUACUGGGCGUAAAGCGCACGUAGGCGGCUUUGUACGUUAGAGGUGAAAGCCUGGGGCUCAACUCCAGAAUUGCCUUUAAGACUGCAUCGCUUGAACGUCGGAGAGGUGAGUGGAAUUCCGAGUGUAGAGGUGAAAUUCGUAGAUAUUCGGAAGAACACCAGUGGCGAAGGCGGCUCACUGGACGACUGUUGACGCUGAGGUGCGAAAGCGUGGGGAGCAAACAGGAUUAGAUACCCGAGUAGUCCCUGUCUCUUAUAC
rnacentral:rRNA from 1 species